ACCUUCUAUUCCCAGAAUCACUAGGCGCCGGCGCCUCCGAGGCAGUGUGUUUCCGCCCAGAGCUGGAGUCUCCCAGCUGCCAGCCGACCCCGAACCCGCACUCCCGCCAACCGCGCUUUUUGUGGGCGGUCGGAAACCACAGCCUCCGUUGGAUAUGUUCGGUGCAUGUUAUAAACAACCACUUAAACCCUCCGGAUCUGAGCCUCCCGCAGAGGAAUGCAGAAUGACGCCACGGCACGCAGGAUGUGAUGUCACCGAGAUGCAGAGGAUACUCAGUCAACCAACAUUUACUGAGCAUCUACUUCGUGCCGUAUGUACGAAGCUAGCAAAUAUGUACAGCACCAGUACUGAUUGCAGGGAGCACUGUAGAAGAGGAAUGAAGGCCAAACAAUUAAAAGCGGAGGCGGGGAGAUUGACUCUUUUCGCCGACACCUUGUAUUUCGUCUGGCAACCUUACUCACCCCUCAACCAUUUGUUUGAGUUGUUUAGAGUUAUGGAUAUAGUUAAAGUACGAAGCCAAAUGUGUGGGAAUAAUAACGCCAAAUUCAAGAUAGUGGUUUCAAUGGAGCACGAAGGAGAAAAACACCAUCAGGGGUCUUGUCAACGGAAAGGGGUCCCUAUCCAGACCCCAAGAGAGCAUUCUUGGAUCUCUUGCAAGAAAGAAUUUGAGGCGAAUCCAUAGAGUAAGCUUAGUGAUGUGUGUCAGACCUCUGAGCCCAAGCAAAGCCAUCAUAUCCCCUGUGACCUGCAUGUAUACAUCCAGAUGGCCUGAAGCAAGUGAAGAAUCACAAAAGAAGUGAAAAGGGCCGGUUCCUGCCUUAACUGAUGACAUUCCACCAUUGUGAUUUGUUCCUGCCCCACCUUAACUGAGCGAUUAACCUGUGAACUUCCUUCUCCUGGCUCAGAAGCUUCCCCACUGAGCACCUUGUGACCCCCGCCCCUGCCUGCCAUAGAACAACCCCCUUUGAUUGUAAUUUUCCUUUACCUACCCAAAUCCUAUAAAACGGCCCCACCCCUAUCUCCCUUCGCUGACACUCUCUUUGGACUCAGCCUGCCUGCACCUAGGUGAUUAAAAAGCUUUAUUGCUCACGCAAA
ensembl:lncRNA ANKRD13C-DT ANKRD13C divergent transcript